rnacentral:rRNA from 1 species
GUGGGGAAUAUUGGGCAAUGGGCGAAAGCCUGACCCAGCAACGCCGCGUGAAGGAAGAAGGUCUUCGGAUCGUAAACUUCUAUCCUUGGUGAAGAUAAUGACGGUAGCCGAGAAGGAAGCCCCGGCUAACUACGUGCCAGCAGCCGCGGUAAUACGUAGGGGGCAAGCGUUGUCCGGAAUGAUUGGGCGUAAAGGGCGCGUAGGCGGCCUGGUAAGUCUGGAGUGAAAGUCCUGCUUUUAAGGUGGGAAUUGCUUUGGAUACUGUCGGGCUUGAGUGCAGGAGAGGUAAGUGGAAUUCCCGGUGUAGCGGUGAAAUGCGUAGAGAUCGGGAGGAACACCAGUGGCGAAGGCGACGAUCUGGCCUGCAACUGACGCUCAGUCCCGAAAGCGUGGGGAGCAAAUAGGAUUAGAAACCCUAGUAGUCC